rnacentral:tRNA from 1 species
CCGUCCUUAGCUCAGUUGGAUAGAGCAACGGCCUUCUAAGCCGUAGGUCACACGUUCGAAUCGUGUAGGACGGG